rnacentral:tRNA from 17 species
CGAAUUAGCUUAGUCCGCGGAGCGCACGACUUUUAACAGUAUGGCCGGGGGUUUGAUUCCAUCACUC